AGAGGAAGGAGAAGUCGUAACAAGGUUUCCGUAGGUGAACCUGCGGAAGGAUCAUUGUCGAGAACCGACCGAGAGACCGCGGGAUGACACCGUGUCGGGCGGACAAUUUACUUUGCCCGCCCUGCUCGGGACCCCGCAUCGUGUCCGCGAUCGCCCCCGGGCGCCCCGGACACGACCUGCGGGCAAGGAACAUAUGACAGGACGGACGCACGUCAACGCCUCGGCGGCGGCGCGGCGCCCGCUCUCUAUCUAUACGACUCUCGGCAACGGAUAUCUCGGCUCUCGCAUCGAUGAAGAACGUAGCGAAAUGCGAUACUUGGUGUGAAUUGCAGAAUCCCGUGAACCAUCGAGUCUUUGAACGCAAGUUGCGCCCGAGGCCUUUCGGUCGAGGGCACGCCUGCCUGGGCGUCACGCCUUGUUUCGCUCCGUUCCCAUGCCCCUUCGGGGGCGGUCACGGAUGCGGAGACUGGCCCUUUGAAAGCCGGGUGUAAGACUCUAUGCCGUGCCUCGUGUGCGGCGGGCUUAAGCGCGGGUUUGAUCCCGAAGAGAUUGUGUCUGUCUUUACUUGCCCCAUUGCCCGCCCUGCUCGGGCGCCGGAUGGGCACGACGAGUGGUGGACGGAGCACCAGCAGGAUGUCGUGGCCCACCGUCGCGUUAAGGGGCUCAAGAGACCCGGAACAGGCGAGCCGUGCUCCGUACGAGGAGGGCCGCAACGCGACCCCAGGUCAGUGCGGGGACACCCGCUGAGUUUACAAUAAGUCAGGCCGGAG
rnacentral:rRNA from 1 species